rnacentral:lncRNA from 10 species
AGCAUCUUAGUUUACUUAAUAUCAUAGCUUCCAAAUACAUAAAACAGAUAAUUGACAGAACUUUAAGGAAAUAAACAAAUCAAAUCCCUCCUAACAACUUGAAUUUUUAAUCUGCCUCUGUUGGUAACUGAUAGAUCAAGCUAACUAAAAUGUGAUUAAAACCAAGGAAAUCUAAAUAGCAUAGUCAACAAGCUUGACAGAGUGUAUACAUUGAACAUUGCGUCCACCAAUAGAAAAACAAACAUUCUUUUUAAGCAGACAUGGAAUAUUGAUGGAAACUGACCAUAUGCUAGGCCUAAAUUCAUACUUAUUGUGAUAGCUUUGUAAUGUGUCAGUUUGGCUAGGCUGAACUACCCAUCUCAGACUUCCCUUUCUUCUGUGUUUCCAGUUAGCAUGAGCCACGUGUCAUGCUAUUCUGGAAGGCAGGAAGAAAGCAAAAGCCAUUUUGUAGCUCACACACUUCGUUGCUGAUCUGCAAACUCACCUUGGAAUAAAGCAGAGCUGGGCCUCAAUUAUUCCCCUUUUCUCCUGGAUCUUCCUUCAGUGUCACUGACUCCUGGACCAGGUGAUGCUGAUGCACAGUUGAGGGGUGUGAAAAAUCAAGCAAAACUCUCCGUGAAUGCUGAAUGACAACCACAAGCUCUGUUUGUUGAGGAUCUGGAGUGAGUUCUGCCAGCUGCCUUUGGCCCAGAUCUCCAUGGAGUGACUCAUCAUACCUCUGCAUUUCUGGGAAUUUGGAAUGUUCUUUUAUGAUUUUUUAAUUAAGGAAAAAAGUGUUUUGCUUAGAAUAUAUACAUCUACAUAUUUGAAAGAAAAUACACCAAAAUGUCAAGUGUUCAUUUUGAGGUAGGAGGAUCAUAGGUAGUUUUUACCUUUUGGGUUGCAUGUUACAUUUUCUAUAAGGGACCAUGUAUUUCUAACAAAGGUUAAAUAAUUACUUAAUAUUAUUUAGGGAAAAGACCCUAGAAUAACUUUUGGUUUGAAUAUGUGGAGAGCCUUGGAAUCUUAAGCUAUAUCCUAAGGAGAGCAUCCUGCUGGAGAGAAAUUCUUGAGUCAAAAGAAGGUGGGGUUUGAGUGAAAUUGGGGAAAACAAAGAAGGAAACAAUGAAGAAAAAGGGAGAAAACUUAAGAAAGGAGAUAAAAACAGAAGCCCAAGCCAUGCAGAACAGGAAGUGAGGAUGAGAAAGAAGGAAGAUGGAGCUUAAAAUACACACUCCUGAAAAUUGAGGAGUUCCCAAAAACAAGAAUUUUUCCUAAAUGUGUUGAUGAUUCUGAGCCAGAGGUCAGUGGAGAGUUUGAUUAACCACAACAAGAUAUCUUUGGAAUCCUAAACUGAACAUUGAACACAGAAAGUGAAUUAAUCUAGAUUCUUAAAGAGCAUAGCCCAUUUAUCUCAAUGCCUCUCCUCCAUCAAAACCAAGUUGAUGGUAAGAUAAAGUUGAGCCCUCAUGAAAGGAUUUGUUAAAGCCAAACUGGAGUGAAUGUUUGAAAUUAGAGGAAGCAUUUAGAUGGUAAAUAGAACAUGAAUGAUGGACAGAGAAGAGAGAAUUGAAAAAAAAAAUCUAAUAGCCAUUGUUUUUCUCUUUAAAUUAUCCCAUAGAUAGCUGACAUAUAUCUGGUUUGAGUAAAAAUUUUCCAAUCUGAAAUACAGAAGCAACAAGAAAAGCUAACACUGACAGCUUUAUCCUUUGAAGAUUAAAUCUAAGCCAUCAGCAAUCCACAAUCAUCUCCCUGUCUAGUGGUUGAGUCCUUUUUCUAAGCCAUGUCCUUUUGACACAAGUGACACAAACAUGACUUUUAACCCAGUUAGAGCAGCUCUCUAGAUGGCAUUUUCUGUCCUUGUGCAGAGGGAACGUUUGCUGAAAGCUGACACUUCACUUCCUGGAAGGCAGAAUGAGGUUUGUGGUUCUUGGGCACCCUUGUCCCUUGAGACUCUCUUCCCUGUCACAGAGGUGUUAGUGAACUGUCCCCAGCUAAUAUUUAAACUGCCAGUCUCCCUGGAUCAGCAGAAGGCAGCAUAAAUUGGAGCUAAGGGGCUCUCCUCAGCUCUUCUGGCUACCUAGGAAGAAAAAAUUCUUAGUGCCCAAUUAGAAAUUCCUCCAUAGAGGACCUGUCCUGCCCUGCCCUGUCCUCCCCAAAGCCCACCCGCAUCACCCAGAGCUGGGGCUUGCUUAGUCCUAACAGAACCCUCUGUAUGAGUGGACAGAUGGAAUAAAGGUCAGGUUUAGUGGGUCAAUACUUGGUAGAAAGCACUUUGAUUACUGUAGCCUUGUAGUAUAGUUUGAAGUCAGGUAGCACGAUGCCUCCAGGUUUGUUCUUUUUGCUUAAGAUUGUCUUGGCAAUGCGGGCUCUUUUUUGGUUCCAUAUGGACUUUAAGGUAGUUUUUUUCCAAUUCUAUGAAGAAAGUCAAUGGUAGCUUGAUGGGGAUGGUAUUGAAUCUAUAAAUCACCUUGGGCAGUAUGGCCAUUUUCACGAUAUUGGUUCUUCCUAUCCAUGAGCAUGGAAUGUUCUUCCAUUUGUUUGUAUCUUCUUUUAUUUUGUUGAGCAGUGGUUUGUAGUUCUCCUUGAAGAGGUCC